rnacentral:lncRNA from 1 species
ACCCACACAGUGCUGGGGUUUAAGGGAGGCCUGCUUUUUUCUCUCCAUUUACAGAUGGGAAAGCUGACAUAAACGGGUAGGUGGUAGAGGUGGGAUUUGAACCCAGGUAACCUAACUCCAAACUUCUGCAUCUUGUCAUAAGGAUCCAAAUCUUAGGCUUUAAGGGGUUCUGUGCAGAUCCUCAGCAGCCUCCCCAGCUUCAGAUCCGGCCUCCUGAGCUCCAGUCUCUCUGAUACCUGCACCCAGGCUCAGGUGCAGGCCAGAGCUCACCUGACUCUGGUGAGCUGCUCUGCCCUACACCGGGAUUGCAGCACACAUCACAUGGCGCUGUCAUUGUCAGAUCCAUCUCUGUGUCCCCACACCCAGCCUGACACAUGGAGCCUGGGAUACAAUAGAUGCUCAAACCGUUGGAGACACGCACAGCAACUUGGGGUAGGGAAGAGAGUCUGGAUGGGAGACAUCAGACAUCACUAUGUCAUGGAGAACCCCCUGCAACUGCAUAAAGAUGGUUUAGGUGCCAGUGGCUUCCGAAUAAAACAGCAUUCUUGAAGUGAACAGCUGAUGAGGACAUGAAAUAUUAUGCCAAAGCUGGCAUCACACUGUUCUUUUUCCUGGAUGAAAAUCUCUCUGAGAAGCAUUUGCUCUUAACUUUGGUGUCCUGGGGACUGCUGCCUUAUCCCAGGAAGCCACCCAGAGUCUUGGAUGUGUGGGAUCCUUAGGACUUCAUGGUAAACCUGCUCUAGUCCCUCGGGUUAGUAAAAUGAAGCCCAGGACAUCUGAGAGCCCCCAGCACUUCCAUAGAAAUGGACCAAAAUCCCUUCUCCCAGGGGGAGAAACCUGGAAUAAGCUCAAGAGGACAGACGGCUAAAUUUUCAAGAAUCGUGUGAGCUGCUGUUAAACAAGCCAUUAUUAAAACUUUAAUUGUGUAAACUUACAAUUAGGUCAGUUAUAUUAAAAGUAAAAGUGAUACAUACCC